rnacentral:lncRNA from 1 species
CUACAUUAUGGUUCUUUAAAAUAAUGACUUACCAAUUUUGUACUCUAUUUCAGUCCGUGUGUUUGUUUCGCUCACGUAACGCAGCUUAACAUUUGAUGCUGUGCCAAGCGGUCAGUCUAAUUCCCUUUACUGGCUUUAGGCUAGUUAUGGCAUCUCCAGGGUAUUUUGGUGAUGGUCCUCCGAUGCGCGAGCGUGACCCCUACUUCACUGAGGUCAUCAGCCAGAGGAUGCGCGUGCCUGAGCGGCUGAGGGUCGGUCCAGCGCCACAUGAGCCUGCAGAGCAAAGACAUGAAGAGCUACCUGCUGCCUACAGCAUGCACAUCCCAGACAGACUGGCCUUAACAGAUGCUCCUGAUUUGAGUCCACGACCUCUCUUCACUAAACACACUUCAUCAAUGUGGGACCUGCAGCAUGGGUCCUGGGACAGGGAGGCGUUCAUGAGAGAGCCUGUCCAGAGUCCACUGCGAAGGUCUUACAGUGACCAGGCCUGUGGUCGAACCCCACCUGGAACCCCCACACACUCCAGACAAACACUCCACUCCCAGUCUCCUGCCUCGCAGGAGUUCUGGCUCGGUCCUGAAGAGGACACAGGUGCUGCUGUCGAGUUCAUGGUGCUCCGCAGACAGGUGGUGAAGAUGAGCAGGAGGAUAGCAGGGCUGGAGAGACAGAACGCAGAGCACAGACAGACAGAGCUGGUGCUGUUCUCUAUGUUACUGUCUGCCUGUCUGAUCAACGGCUGGCUGUGGAUGCGCAGAUGACGGCUCACACUCCACAACACUGCACUAUACAGACAGCACUACAAGAGCAGCGGAGCUGUUUACUGGGAAGUACAGUACUGCACAUAUUUCUAUAGAGAUUUACGAAAUUUGUUCUAAAAAAUGAUGGUCAAUGGAUGGUUUAGAAACCACUUCUAUAGAAGACUCUGAACCUAGACUCGGAUGUGUCACAUGAUCACGGUAGUGACAUGGGCCACUUUGCGUUACAAGUGAUUUGAGGAACUCAAGCAUGUUUUUCUCCUCGUGAGAGUUUCACUGAUGAUGUCAUUCAGUAAUGCAGUCCCUCUGGCUCUUUUGAUCAGACUAGUAGCUAGUAUUUUGGAUUUGAUUUAUUCUGCAAAUUAAGUAAAUGCCGAGAUUUUCUGCAUGCUUUAUUAUGAAAGUAUAAAUAUGAAUGUUUACUGGUGCAUCU